AUUAUUGCGGUUAAGUAGCAAAGCGAGUGUCAAACCAAGUUUCACAGAACACACACACACACACAUGCACAAUGUAAGCUUUGUAUAAUCCACAUAAAAUACUAAAUAUGACAAAUAAGUGUCAAGGAAUAAACAAAGCGUCAAAAGCUGUAGCAGUUGCGGUGCAGCGCAGUGCAAAAAUCAAGCGAAGCACAAAAAGUGCCGACAACGGAUCCAAAAGACGACGAGUGGCGAUUGCAAGUACAGUUAACGCCUGCGGCCGAUAGUCAUCAUUAAGCAGCUCCAUUUGUGCCGACCAAUCACGCACAAAGAGACACACACAGCAGUUGAGAGAGGUGUGUAACCAAGGUUGCGGAGGGGGGACGGGGAGGCGGUCGUGUUGCUGCAAGGACUUGUGAAUUAACAAUUCCUUUCAAUUAACUGUGCAACCAACAAAAAGGCGUGCAACGGCAAAAAAAAAAAAAAUUUCAAAGAAAUCAGCGAGUCCAACGAUAUUCUCUUCAAUAAAAAUCAGACAACUGCAACCAGG